ACCUCCCAGAGGCCGCCACUUUCUUCAGGGCUAUCAGAUGAAGGCAGCAACGAAAACACCACAAGACCAACUUCAGGCUGGAGCUGAUGAUGCCACACAGCAAAUCAGCGAGAAAAAAGAAAAUAGACUCUACUUAGAAAUGAAACUCAACUAAAGGUAAAAGAUGUCAGGAACAUCUCCAAGAAAGCCAGAGUCAGCCUCUAAACUUUGCAUCAAGAACGCAAUGGCUUCCCUGAGGGCCCAGGGACGCUUGGCAGCUGUGAGGCAGCCCCUUCUCUGCUGUCGAGGAACUGGACACUUCUCCUAUCCCUUCCCACAAGGGGCUUCCUGGAGCUCCUGCAACCCCAGGCAUUAGUUCCAGUGCAGUUCUAGGAUCAGAUCAAUUCACUCGACAACAAGAGAAACAAAUGGAGAUUCCUACACAAAGACUUUCAAGCACAAAGAAAUCCUGCUGCCUGUAAAGUGGAGCUGCCUCAGCUCUUGAUGAACGACAGAAAAUCUCACAUUCCAGGAAUUCAGAUGAAGUGAAGUGCUCUCAUGGGGACCAGGCAUGGUUAUUCCAGUCCACUGCCCUGCAAGCCUCAAGGGAAGCCAACUGCCCUUCAGCAAGUCACACCUGCCUUGGUGGAGGCCUUGAUUGGAAGUGCCACACGCUACAUGUCCAGUCCUGAGCGGGAGAAUCGGUGUAGGGACGUUGUGGGGAUGCCGGCUGUGGCCAGAUCAGGUCCAGCUACAGAAGAAUGAAGACUCCACCUGAGGGCUGGAAAAACAAAACCUCAAGUGUGAGGCAGCCAACCUGUUACCUCGAGGGACUGUCCCGCAGCACAGCGGGGCCAUGGGAACAGCAGCAGACACCCCGGCCUCCUCGCUACCUGUGUGUGUAUUAACGCCCCGGCCCCCUCACUACCUGUGUGUGUAUUAACGCCCCGGCCCC
rnacentral:lncRNA from 1 species